UGGGGAAUAUUGGACAAUGGGGGAAACCCUGAUCCAGCAAUGCCGCGUGAGUGAUGAAGGCCUUCGGGUUGUAAAGCUCUUUUACCUGUGACGAUAAUGACGGUAGCAGGAGAAUAAGCCCCGGCUAACUUCGUGCCAGCAGCCGCGGUAAUACGAAGGGGGCUAGCGUUGUUCGGAAUUACUGGGCGUAAAGGGCGCGUAGGCGGCGUUGUAAGUGAGAUGUGAAAGACCUGGGCUUAACCUAGGAAGUGCAUUUCAGACUGCAAAGCUAGAGUGCGAGAGGGGAAAGUGGAAUGACGAGUGUAGAGGUGAAAUUCGUAGAUAUUCGUUGGAACACCAGUGGCGAAGGCGACUUUCUGGCUCGCAACUGACGCUAAGGCGCGAAAGCGUGGGGAGCAAACAGG
rnacentral:rRNA from 1 species